CAUGCACCAGUGGGGUCCCUCAGCCCGGCCUGUGGGAUCGGGCAAAAACCGGCUCUCUGACAUCCCCUGAGAGGUCCUGGAUUGUGAGAGGGCACAGGCCAGGCUGAGGGACCCCACUGGUGCACG
rfam:Myotis davidii contig155181, whole genome shotgun sequence.